rnacentral:tRNA from 1 species
GGGGAUAUAGCUCAGUGGUAGUGCAUUCAACUGCAGAUCGAGAGGUCCCUGGUUCGAACCCGGGUGUCCCCU